rnacentral:rRNA from 1 species
GCUCAGUAACACGUGGACAACGUACCCUAAAGUGGAGCAUAAUCUCGGGAAACUGAGGAUAAUUCUCCAUAGACCAUGAGAUCUGGAAUGACUUAUGGUUCAAAGUUCCGGCGCUUUAGGAUCGGUCUGCGGCCUAUCAGGUAGUAGUGGGUGUAACGUACCCCCUAGCCGUUGACGGGUAUGGGCCUUGAGAGAGGGAGCCCAGAGUUGGAUUCUGAGACACGAAUCCAGGCCCUACGGGGCGCAGCAGUCGCGAAAACUUCACAAUGGGCGAAAGCCCGAUGAGGGAAUUCCUAGUGCUAGCACAUUAGUGUUAGCUUUUCCUUAGCGUAGAUAACUAGGGGAAUAAGGGCUGGGUAAGACGGGUGCCAGCCGCCGCGGUAAUACCCGCAGCCCGAGUGGUGGUCGAUUUUAUUGAGUCUAAAACGUUCGUAGCCGGUCUGAUAAAUCCUUGGGUAAAUCGGGAAGCUUAACUUUCCGAAUUCCGAGGAGACUGUCAGGCUUGGGAUCGAGAGAGGUAUGAGGUACUUCAGGGGUAGGGGUAAAAUCCUGUAAUCCUUGGAGGACCACCGGUGGCGAAGGCGUCAUACUAGAACGAAUCCGACGGUGAGGGACGAAGCCCUAGGUCGCAAACGGGAUUAGGUACCCCGGUAGUCUAGGGUGUAAACGCUGCAGACUUGGUGUUGGAGGCCCUUCGGGGGCAUUCAGUGCCGGAGAGAAGUUGUUAAGUCUGCUACUUGGGGAGUAC